AUGAUGCUAUUGUGCAAGACGAUAUUGAAGGUCCAGGAAUGAAACCGAGAAACCUGCUGAGGUCGGUCUCAACCAAGUGUUGAUUGCAAUAUUCUAAAGAAGA